AAAAUAUUAUUAAAAUUUUUUAAAAAAAAUAAUUUAUUUUUUAAUAAUGAUUAUGAAAAAAUAAUAAAUAUUAUAGUUAAUUAGUAUAGUGAUAGAAUUAUUUUAUAAAAUUAAAAGUAAAUUUAAUUUAUUGUACCUUGUGUAUCAGGGCUUAUUAAAUAAUAAUUAUUAAUUUAAUUUUCUCGAUUUUAUAAGAGUUAAUAAAAUAUAAAUUUUAUUGUAAAAUAAAUAUUUAAAAUAUUUUAUUAGAAAUGAAACGUUAUUCGUUUAUAAAUAUAUCUAGUUUUUAAAGAAAAAAAUUUAAUUUUAUGUUUAAUAAAAAAUUAAUUUAUUUGAAAGUUAAUUUUUAUUAAAUUUAAAUAUUUUUUAGGAUAAGCUAAAAAAUAUAAAUUUAUAAAUUUAUAAAAAUUUAAAUAAUAUAUAGGAUUAGAAUUUUUUAAUUUUAAUAUGUUAUAAUUAAUUAUUUUAAUUUAUUUAUUUUUAUAAAUUUUAAUUUUUAUAUUUAAAUAAUUUAUUUAAUAAAAAAAUAAAUGUAAUAAUGAUAAAAUUAGUAUAAUUUUAUGUAUAUUAUUUUAAAUUAGUUUAGUUUAAAUAAAGGAAUUCGGCAAAAAUUAUUUUUCGCCUGUUUAUUAAAAACAUGUCUUUUUGAUAAUAAUUUAAAGUCUGACCUGCCCACUGAAUUUUUAAUGGCCGCAGUAUUUUGACUGUGCUAAGGUAGCAUAAUAAUUAGUUUUUUAAUUAAAAGCUAGAAUGAAUGGUUGGACGAGAAAAUAGCUGUCUCUAUUUAAUUUAAUUAGAAUUUAAUUUUUAAGUUAAAAAGCUUAAAUAAUGUUAAAAGACGAGAAGACCCUAUAGAGUUUUAUAUUAAUUAUUCAAUAAAAUUUUUAGAAUCUUAUUUUUUAUUGUUAAAAUAAUAUUUUAUUGGGGUGAUAAAAAAAAUUAAUAAACUUUUUUUAAUUUAAACAUAAAUUUAUGAUUAAUUGAUCCAUUAAAUGAUUAAAAGAUUAAAUUACCUUAGGGAUAACAGCGUAAUUUCUUUAAAGAGUUCUAAUCGAAAAAGAAGUUUGCGACCUCGAUGUUGGAUUAAAAUUUAAAUUUGGUGUAGAAGCUAAAUUAUUAGGUCUGUUCGACCUUUAAAAUUUUACAUGAUCUGAGUUUAAACCGGUGUGAGCCAGGUUGGUUUCUAUCUUUAAUAAAAAAUUAUAUUUUAGUACGAAAGGACCAAAUAUA
rnacentral:rRNA from 1 species